AUUGUUAAAAAUUUGGGUUUCUGUUUAACUAGAAAAAAAUAUGUGUUAUGUUAUAUGUGAUAAUGUCCCAUACCAUCUGCA